AUAUCAAUAAGCGGAGGAAAAGAAACCAACAGGGAUUACCUCAGUAACGGCGAGUGAAGCGGUAACAGCUCAAAUUUGAAAGCUGCCAACAGGCCGCGUUGUAAUUUGUAGAAGAUGCUUUGGGGAUCGGCCUGGUCUAAGUUCCUUGGAACAGGACGUCAUAGAGGGUGAGAACCCCGUCUCUGGCUUGGCGACUGCCGCGUACGACACGCGUUCCUCGAGUCGGGUUGCUUGGGAUCGCAGCCUGAAAUGGGUGGUAAAUUUCAUCUAAAGCUAAAUAUGUGCGGGAGACCGAUAGCGCACAAGUA
rnacentral:rRNA from 1 species